UACGGAGGAUCCAAGCGUUAUCCGGAAUCAUUGGGUUUAAAGGGUCCGUAGGCGGUUUUGGAAGUCAGUGGUGAAAGCCCAUCGCUCAACGGUGGAACGGCCAUUGAUACUGCAAGACUUGAAUUAUUGGGAAGCAACUAGAAUAUGUAGUGUAGCGGUGAAAUGCUUAGAUAUUACAUGGAAUACCAAUUGCGAAGGCAGGUUGCUACCAAUACAUUGACGCUGAUGGACGAAAGCGUGGGGAGCGAACAGG
rnacentral:rRNA from 1 species